rnacentral:rRNA from 1 species
CUUCGGACCGGGCCAGUGGCGCAAGGGUGAGUAAGGCGACGGUAACCAACCCCACGGUCGGGUAUAGCCGCGGGAAACUGCGGGUAAUCCCCAGCGACGUAGGAUGUCGGCAUCGAUGUCCUACCAAAGCUCCGGCGCCGUGGGACGGGCCGUCGUGGUAUUAGGUCGUUGGCGGGGUAACGGCCCACCAAGCCUGUGAUGCCUACCGGGCGUGCGAGCGCGGCCCGGCACACUGGGACUGAGACACUGCCCAGACUCCUACGGGAGGCUGCAGUCGAGAAUCUUCGGCAAUGGGCGCAAGCCUGACCGAGCGACGCCGCGUGGAGGACGAAGGCCUUCGGGUUGUAAACUCCCUGUCGAGGGGGAGGAAGG